rnacentral:lncRNA from 1 species
CCGCGCCUGCUGCGUUUCAAGUGAGUCUGCGUUCCCGCAAGGCUCGCCAACCCGUUCAACAUGCCAAAUUUUGGCAGUCUCGAACCAUUCGAGGGGGGAGGAAACGACUGGCCAUGCUAUGUGGACCGGCUCGAAGCAUUUUUCGCGG